rnacentral:rRNA from 1 species
UACGGAGGAUGCGAGCGUUAUCCGGAUUUAUUGGGUUUAAAGGGUGCGUAGGCGGACUGUCAAGUCAGCGGUAAAAUUGAGAGGCUCAACCUCUUCCCGCCGUUGAAACUGGUGGCCUUGAGUGGAUGAGAAGUACGCGGAAUGCGUGGUGUAGCGGUGAAAUGCAUGGAUAUCACGCAGAACUCCGAUUGCGAAGGCAGCGUACCGGCAUCCAACUGACGCUGAGGCACGAAAGCGUGGGGAUCAAACAGG